GAGAGAGAGAGAGAGAAUGAGAGAGGGACGGAAGAGGGGAACUGAGAGCCAAUCCGGCGAAGCGACUCGUAUUGCAAAUUGGGUUAAAUCUGAAAUCUUGGUAGUCCUGUUCAUCCUCUCCCUGCCUUCCGACCCGAACAGCGAAUCGGUAGAACGAGCGAGCCAUCGAUUAUUCGUGCGUGUGCGGUUGGCUCUUUGAAGCGUAGAGAAGCCUGAACCGAGGUCAGGGCUGACUUGAAAAAAAUAACGUCUACCCCGAUGAAACCCUCGAAUUCGGUUUAUCGUUCGUUCCAAGAGAAAGGAUCGUUUGCUUUCUACGUUGUUUGAUUCGGUGGUGGCGAACAGGGUGUACGAGAAAGUGCACCCUGUACUAGACAAUUUAUUACGUUUUCCACAGACGUACCUUAGCCGCUGAGAAACAGUAUCGUCCCUUCUGUUUACGAGAAUACCCUCGUCCAGUGUUUACGGUUGCCGUACGCUCACAGAUACUAUACUUAUCGGCGUGUAAAGCGGUCAAAAAGGUCGCUCGUUGUUGACUAACGAGAGCGACUACUACACGGACGCGAGUAGGUAAUCGUCUAUGAAAUAUUUUCUAGUUUUUGUUGUCCGUCGAACGUUGUCGAAAGUAUAAAAAAAAAAAAAAAAAAAAGGAAAAUAAACCGAUUCGAAAGAGAAUAUUUCUACUUACACGAGAUAAUUCACACAAAACGCGUAUCGUCCCAAGUAUGGUAGAUGUAGAAACGAUCGUGAAAAUAGAAGAGAAAAAGUACAAAAGAUGGCGCGCGUACCGUAGAAAAAGAAAAAGCAGGAAGAGAAGAAGAAAGAAGAGAGAGUAUUUUUCGGAUGGGAUUUAUCUUCCCCCGAUUGUCCGUGAAUUCGAACGACUAAAUCACGCGAAUUUCAUUUCUGUCCGACUCGAGGACAUUACCGUUCGUUUCUACGGUUCUGUGAGCGAGAAACGAUCCCCGGUCCCUUCGUCUCCGGUCAUCGCCGCUGAUAUCGGCCGUUUUUCUUCUCGGCAAACUGCCUUCUCUUCGUUCCGGAGGGACGGUGGCGCAAACCUGGCGGACACUCUUAAUUGCCUUUCCCCGAAAAGCUGCUGGUGCUUCCACCGAAAGCUAAAAAAUUCUUCCCACGCGAUCUCUUAAAGCACUGCGAGAAAAUCCCUUUCCUUUCUUUUAGGAGAACUUAUAUUCCCCUGUACCGUUGACACCGUCGGCUCUCGAGUUCUAUUAAAGUAUACGAUCUUGCUACUCGUGUGUCGAAAUAAAAAGGCAAAGUCAUUUUUUCUUACUUUCAAUCGGCCCCAAAUUAAUGGACUAUUUUUACGGCGCUCGAUAACGUCGUAACCGUCGUUUUUCUUCGUAAAUUACAAACGCGAGUAUGUAGGACGACCUUCUCGUCUUAUUCUUACUUAAAAAUUUCUUUGAUACGAAAUGAAACGUUAAUUAGUUCCAAUACGCUUGGGCUUUAGUAAAAAAUUCUCGGAGAGUUUCUUUUGAAACAGCAGCUCUUUCUCUCUCUUUCGCUCUCGCUCUCGCUCUCGCUCCCUCUUUAUCGAGAAAAGAGUCUGCUCGCUUACGUCGUACGCUCUGUAUCAGAAAAUCUUGGUAAUGCGAUUCCUAACGAAGUCGAUUCAAAGCGAUGGCGUACGUUGUAGGACGUGCGAUUGACAGGAAAUUAGUUCUCGACUAUCAUCGUCAAAUUACGGAAAUCAAUCCGCAUCGCUUGUCAUCGUACGUUCGAUACUACGCAAAUGAGAAUUGGAAAUGAUGAUAGAACAUAGACGCGCACGACACACGGAUUUCAAACGACAAAGUUCCCACAGCGAAGCGAGUCCUGCAAGUAUCGAAUUCUGGAAUCGUCUGUCGUGACUUCCCAACUCGGCGUUCGAUCGACUUGUGUCGAAAGGAUGACAAACUCUACGUAUAUACGUCGGAGGAAAGGUAAACUCGCUAGAGGGAAUAACGAUAUAUCUAUGUACGAAAUAAAGGAAAACAUAAAUAAAGCGUUGCGAUUAUCGUUAUCGUUGUUUCUUUGAAACUUACGUAAAUAAAGAAAGAAACUAACGUAGAAGAAGGACGGGGAAAGAAAAGGACGGAAAAAUCGUGGAGAAACGAGAUCCGGCUUCGUUCUUGGAUAGCGCUGACGAUCGAACGAGGAAAGUGGAACACGCAUAAUGCAUGCCUGUGUAACUUGAUCCUUCUCUAUAGAUAUAAGUCGAUCACGGAGGAUAGCCCCUCGUACACACACCGUCUCGGAGGACGCACACGUAUGAUCCACACGGGCGCGCGCGAGGGAACACGCAAAAUAUACUUUUAAGCGGCCACACGCAUAUUGUACAAGUGAAAGAACGUUGUACCAGGCUCGCGGAUCGAAGUCGGUAAACCUUCCGGUUAAAGUAACAUACAUACAUAUA